rnacentral:lncRNA from 1 species
UAUGUCUCAAGGGCCUAUCUCUAUAUCAUCAUGUCUAAAACAUGGAAUAUAAUCAUGUCACAAUGGCCAAACUCAAUGUCUCUAUGUCGCAAUUUCAUAGUUUACUAGUUCAGGUGCCCCUUUAUGGCAUUUUGUUCACUAAGUCCAAGCAUGAUGAUUAUGUUCACGAGUACGUAAUUCUAGUCCUUUUCUUCAUAAGAGACAUGUUCCCAACUCGUAUAGGGAACCACUUUCCACAUGCAUGCUGUCACGCCCCGAAACCGCUACCAAUUCGGUCCAGUUCGGGCGCGUCGAACAGACGCCGAACGGACAGCACCUCUCCUGUCCGCCCAAGGCUAAGCAACCAGAUCAUGUACAAUUAAGCACCCAGGAAUUUGCUUAAAUAACAUACAUGAUCAAACAC